GAAUCAACGCUGGCGGCGUGCCUAACACAUGCAAGUCGAACGCGAAAGUCCCGCAAGGGAUCAGUAGAGUGGCAAACGGGUGAGUAACGCGUGGGUGACCUGCCUUCGAGCGGGGGAUAACGUCCCGAAAGGGGCGCUAAUACCGCAUAACAUCCUGCUUUUGAAGAGGUGGAGAUCAAAGCUGGGGAUCGCAAGACCUAGCACUCGAAGAGGGGCCCGCGUCCGAUUAGCUAGUUGGUGAGGUAACGGCUCACCAAGGCUCCGAUCGGUAUCCGGCCUGAGAGGGCGGACGGACACACUGGGACUGAGACACGGCCCAGACUCCUACGGGAGGCAGCAGUGGGGAAUUGUUCGCAAUGGGCGCAAGCCUGACGACGCAACGCCGCGUGGAGGAUGAAGAUCUUCGGGUCGUAAACUCCUUUCGAUCGAGACGAACGGCUUCCGGGUGAACAAUCCGGGAGAGUGACGGUACCGAGAGAAGAAGCCCCGGCUAACUCCGUGCCAGCAGCCGCGGUAAUACGGGGGGGGCAAGCGUUGUUCGGAAUUACUGGGCGUAAAGGGCUCGUAGGUGGCCAUCUAAGUCAGACGUGAAAUCCCUCGGCUUAACCGGGGAA
rnacentral:rRNA from 1 species